rnacentral:rRNA from 1 species
AUGUAUGCAGGUGACUGGUACUAAUAGGCCGAGGACUUACCACAAAGAAGCUACGCGUCCACUGUGCGGUAUCUGAAACAACACACAGAUACCUUUUGAGAGAACCUUGUUUUCUCCAUCCCCCAACACCAGAAACAUUGGUGUUGACGGGUGGUGAAACACAUGGUGAUCGAAAAAGUGAGGUUACUGUGACAGUUUCAUAGAGUUACGGCGGUCAUAGCGAAGGGGAAACGCCCGGUCCCAUUCCGAACCCGGAAGCUAAGCCCUUCAGCGCCGAUGGUACUGCACUCGACAGGGUGUGGGAGAGUAGGACACCGCCGAAC